UCCGCAAUGGGCGUAAGCCUGACGGAGCGACCCCGCGUGCGGGAUGAAGGCCUUCGGGUUGUAAACCGCUGUCAGUUGGGAGGAAAUCUAUGGGGGUUCUCCCCCAUAGUUGACCUAUCUUCAGAGGAAGGACGGGCUAAGUUCGUGCCAGCAGCCGCGGUAAGACGAACCGUCCAAACGUUAUUCGGAACCACUGGGCUUAAAGGGUGCGUAGGCGGCUUGGCAAGUUGGGUGUGAAAUCCCCCGGCUCAACCGAGGAACUGCGCUCAAAACUGCCAAGCUAGAGGAAGAUUGAGGUGAGCGGAAUUUAUGUUGGAGCGGUGAAAUGCGUUGAUAUCAUUAGGAACACCUGUGGCGAAAGCGGCUCACUGGGUCUUUUCUGACGCUGAGGCACGAAAGCUAGGGUAGCGAACGGGAUUAGAUACCCCGGUAGUCCUAGCUGUAAACGAUGAGCACUAGGUUGGAGGCUCCUCCAUAGGUUUCCGACCGAAGCGAAAGUGUUAAGUGCUCCGCCUGGGGAGUAUGGUCGCAAGGCUGAAACUCAAAGGAA
rnacentral:rRNA from 1 species